AUUGAACGCUGGCGGCAGGCCUAACACAUGCAAGUCGAACGGUAGCACAGAGAGCUUGCUCUCGGGUGACGAGUGGCAGACGGGUGAGUAAUGUCUGGGAAACUGCCUGAUGGAGGGGGAUAACUACUGGAAACGGUAGCUAAUACCGCAUAACGUCGCAAGACCAAAGAGGGGGACCUUCGGGCCUCUUGCCAUCAGAUGUGCCCAGAUGGGAUUAGCUAGUAGGUGGGGUAACGGCUCACCUAGGCGACGAUCCCUAGCUGGUCUGAGAGGAUGACCAGCCACACUGGAACUGAGACACGGUCCAGACUCCUACGGGAGGCAGCAGUGGGGAAUAUUGCACAAUGGGCGCAAGCCUGAUGCAGCCAUGCCGCGUGUAUGAAGAAGGCCUUCGGGUUGUAAAGUACUUUCAGCGGGGAGGAAGGUGUUGUGGUUAAUAACCACAGCAAUUGACGUACC
rnacentral:rRNA from 1 species